rnacentral:rRNA from 1 species
AAUGAACGCUGGCGGCAUGCCUAACACAUGCAAGUCGAACGAAGGCUUCGGCCUUAGUGGCGCACGGGUGCGUAACGCGUGGGAAUCUGCCCUCAGGUUCGGAAUAACAGCGAGAAAUUGCUGCUAAUACCGGAUGAUAUCGCGAGAUCAAAGAUUUAUCGCCUGAGGAUGAGCCCGCGUAGGAUUAGCUGGUUGGUGUGGUAAAGGCGCACCAAGGCGACGAUCCUUAGCUGGUCUGAGAGGAUGAUCAGCCACACUGGGACUGAGAAACGGCCCAGACUCCUACGGGAGGCAGCAGUGGGGAAUAUUGGACAAUGGGCGAAAGCCUGAUCCAGCAAUGCCGCGUGAGUGAUGAAGGCCUUAGGGUUGUAAAGCUCUUUUACCCGGGAUGAUAAUGACAGUACCGGGAGAAUAAGCUCCGGCUAACUCCGUGCCAGCCGCCGCGGUAA